GUGUGUCUAGGGGACCCCGUGGUUAGCAGCCGCUAUCGAAGCGUCGGAUGUGCAGGGCAGCAGCGGCCGGCGUCCUCGGAUGUUGUGUUACCCGCCACCAUGAGCUACACAGGCUUUGUCCAAGGAUCUGAAACCACUUUGCAGUCGACAUACUCGGAUACCAGUGCUCAGCCCACCUGUGAUUAUGGAUAUGGAACUUGGAACUCUGGAACAAAUAGAGGCAAGUGUCAUUCCUGCGAUCGCUGUCCUGUCCCUUGGGGUUGUUCUGGCUAUGUUUCUCAGCUGCUGCCCUGCUUGACCAAGGUUGGGAGUGGGGAGGGGGUGUGUUUCUGGGGUUACCUACUCCUUAACAGGAGGCCUUCAUCAGAAUGGCCAGGGCCCAUCCAGCCUCAGUGGCUAGGGUCUUCUCUCUCUGUGACAGAAGAUACCCUGGUAUCUGUGUUUGUCUCUGUCUCUGCCUGCCCCCACCAUCUGUCUGUCUCUGUCUCCCUCACUGCAGGCUACGAGGGCUAUGGCUAUGGCUAUGGCUAUGGCCAGGAUAACACCACCAACUAUGGGUAUGGUAUGGCCACUUCACACUCUUGGGAAAUGCCUAGCUCUGACACAAAUGCAAACACUAGUGCCUCGGGUAGCGCCAGUGCCGAUUCCGUUUUAUCCAGAAUUAACCAGCGCUUAGAUAUGGUGCCGCAUUUGGAGACAGACAUGAUGCAAGGAGGCGUGUACGGCUCAGGUGGAGAAAGGUAUGACUCCUAUGAGUCCUGUGACUCAAGGGCCGUCCUGAGUGAGCGCGACCUGUACCGGUCAGGCUAUGACUACAGCGAGCUUGACCCCGAGAUGGAAAUGGCCUAUGAGGGCCAAUAUGAUGCCUACCGCGACCAGUUCCGCAUGCGUGGCAACGACACUUUCGGUCCCAGGGCGCAGGGCUGGGCCCGCGAUGCCCGGAGCAGCCGGCCGAUGGCCUCAGGCUAUGGGCGCAUGUGGGAAGACCCCAUGGGGGCCCGGGGCCAGUGCAUGUCUGGUGCCUCUCGGCUGCCCUCCCUCUUCUCCCAGAACAUCAUCCCCGAGUAUGGCAUGUUCCAGGGCAUGCGAGGUGGGGGCGCCUUCCCAGGCAGCUCCCGCUUUGGCUUCGGGUUUGGCAAUGGCAUGAAGCAGAUGAGGCGGACCUGGAAGACUUGGACCACAGCCGACUUCCGGACCAAGAAGAAGAAGAGAAAACAGGGCGGCAGUCCUGAUGAGCCGGAUAGCAAAGCCACGCGCACGGACUGCUCGGACAACAGUGACUCAGACAAUGAUGAGGGCACCGAGGGGGAAGCCACAGAGGGCCUUGAAGGCACCGAGGCUGUGGAGAAGGGCUCCAGAGUGGACGGAGAGGACGAGGAGGGAAAAGAGGAUGGGAGAGAAGAAGGCAAAGAGGAUUCAGAGAAGGGGGCCCUGACCACUCAGGAUGAGAAUGGCCAGACCAAGCGCAAGUUACAGGCAGGCAAGAAGAGUCAGGACAAGCAGAAAAAGCGGCAGCGAGACCGCAUGGUGGAAAGGGCUCCCGCACUGGCGCUUGCCUCCUCCGCCUCAGACUCUUGCUCUUGCUGGACCUUCCUCAGCCUCGCCGGCGCCCGGCCCCUGGGCUCUCCAGACAAAGCUGACCCCGUGGCCCAGAUAAGGACGUCCGGCAGAGGAUCCAGUUUGUGUGUUCUCUCUGCAAAUACCGGACCUUCUAUGAGGAUGAGAUGGCCAGCCAUCUUGACAGCAAAUUCCACAAGGAACACUUUAAGUACGUAGGCACCAAGCUCCCUAAGCAAACGGCUGACUUUCUGCAGGAGUACGUCACCAACAAGACCAAGAAGACAGAGGAGCUCCGAAAAACUGUGGAGGACCUUGAUGGCCUCAUCCAGCAAAUCUACAGAGACCAGGAUCUGACCCAGGAAAUUGCCAUGGAGCAUUUUGUGAAGAAGGUGGAGGCAGCCCAUUGUGCAGCCUGCGACCUCUUCAUUCCCAUGCAGUUUGGGAUCAUCCAGAAGCACCUGAAGACCAUGGAUCACAACCGGAACCGCAGGCUCAUGAUGGAGCAGUCCAAGAAGUCCUCGCUCAUGGUGGCCCGCAGUAUUCUCAACAACAAGCUCAUCAGCAAGAAGCUGGAGCGCUACCUGAAGGGCGAGAACCCUUUCACCGACAGCCCCGAGGAGGAGAAGGAGCAGGAGGAGGCUGAGGGCGGUGCCCUGGACGAGGGGGCACAGGGCGAAGCGGCAGGGGUCUCGGAGGGUGCAGAGGGCGCGCCGGCGCAGCCUCCCGUGCCCCCAGAGCCAGCCCCCGGGGCCGUGUCGCCGCCACCGCCGCCGCCCCCAGAGGAGGAGGAGGAGGGCGCCGUGCCCUUGCUGGGAGGGGCGCUGCAACGCCAGAUCCGCGGCAUCCCGGGCCUGGACGUGGAGGACGACGAGGAGGGCGGUGGGGGCGUCCUGUGACCCGAGCUCGGGGCGGGCGGGGCCCGCGUGGCCGAAGCUGGAAGCCAAACCUAAUAAAGUUUUCCCAUCCCA